rnacentral:rRNA from 1 species
UGGGGAAUAUUGGACAAUGGGCGCAAGCCUGAUCCAGCAAUGCCGCGUGAGUGAUGAAGGCCUUAGGGUUGUAAAGCUCUUUCGCACGCGACGAUGAUGACGGUAGCGUGAGAAGAAGCCCCGGCUAACUUCGUGCCAGCAGCCGCGGUAAUACGAAGGGGGCUAGCGUUGUUCGGAAUUACUGGGCGUAAAGGGCGCGUAGGCGGCCUGUUUAGUCAGAAGUGAAAGCCCCGGGCUCAACCUGGGAAUAGCUUUUGAUACUGGCAGGCUUGAGUUCCGGAGAGGAUGGUGGAAUUCCCAGUGUAGAGGUGAAAUUCGUAGAUAUUGGGAAGAACACCGGUGGCGAAGGCGGCCAUCUGGACGGACACUGACGCUGAGGCGCGAAAGCGUGGGGAGCAAACAGGAUUAGAUACCCUGGUAGUCCACGCCCGUAAACGAUGAAUGCUAGACGUCGGGGUGCAUGCACUUCGGUGUCGCCGCUAACGCAUUAAGCAUUCCGCCUGGGGGAGUACGGCCGCAAGGUUAAAACUUAAAUGAAUUGACGGGGUC